AUUUGUAUUCUGUUAAAUCCCAAGUUCUUUUUCCCAGCUCCAUUCUUCUCUGACCAACAGAAUUUUACCUGCUUGGAAGGCACAGGCAUUGGCAUAUUCUGCCCCCACUUAUCACAACUGCCCACCUCCCUAGCCUGCAAAUUCCUAAACUGCUCACCAGAGUGUGAGAUGUGUUAAAAAUUGAUCUCCUGGUACACAGGGUGAAGAUGUGACACUGUUAGAACUAGCAGGCGUCAAGGUGUCUGGAAUCCAAAGGACACUAGACGAGGCCCUUUGAACCAGGCACGUGAAGUCAUGUGUUAGAGAUGUGGGGAUCGGGGAAGCUCCAGGAAGGGAAUCAAACACUAAGGAGACUCCUGGUGGUGCCUCGGCCAUUGUGAUGGAGACAGGAGCAAUGAGAUGGGGUUCUGUUAAAUGGCAGGGUGCAGCUCUGGACCCACCCAGCCCAGCUAGGCAUUAGUGAAAGCAGAGAUGCAGGGCUUGGUGCAAGGCCAAGAGCAGGCAAGGGCAAGCUGGGGUGGGGUGAGGGUACAGGAGGAAAGUGCAAUUCGGUGCCACCGCCACAGCAGCAGGGCCCAGCAGGCCUGCCUGCUCCCUUCCGGUGUUAAGAAGCCUGUGCUGGAGAAGAGACCUUCCCAGGGAAAUGCCUGCCAAAAGUGCUAAGAAGGACAAGGAGCACAACAUUACUCAACGCGAUCAUUUGCUAUUUAUAAGGCUCUUCACAUACAUUACCUUAUUUGGUUUUCAUAAUGGACGUCUAAAGAAAAAGAAAGAUGUAUGCACCUAAAGAUAAGGAAAAUGAAACUCAGGGAAACUAAGUGACUUGCCCAAGAUCACACAGCAAUGAUUGAUAGAACCCAGGAGUGUCUAUGAACCAAAGCCCGCUGUCAGAAGAUUCCCUGACAUGAAGUAUGUAUAUACAAUGGAAUAUAAUCCAGCCUCAAAAAGGAAGGAAAUUCUGACACAGACUACAACAUGGAUGCACCUUGAAAACAUGAGGCUAAGUGAAGACACAAAAGGACAAAUACGGACCCAGACAGCUGGCUUGGCCCUGCCAUGUGAGGACAUAGCAAGAAGGUCUCUCUAUGGACCAGGAACCAAUCCCUCACCAAGACACCAAAUCUGCCGGCGCCUUUAUCUUGGACUUCCCAGUCUCCAGAACUGUGAGAAAUAA
rnacentral:lncRNA from 13 species